rnacentral:SRP_RNA from 1 species
GGUUGGGUAUCGCCCGAUGAUUGAGCCGAUGAACCCCGCCAGGUCCGGAAGGAAGCAACGGUAGUCAGGAAACUUCAUGCGAGCGGAAUACUCAGCCCUU